rnacentral:rRNA from 1 species
UGUCCAGACUCCUACGGGAGGCAGCAGUGGGGAAUAUUGCACAAUGGGGGGAACCCUGAUGCAGCGACGCCGCGUGGGUGAAGGAGCACCUCGGUGCGUAAAGCCCUAUCGGCAGGGAAGAAGGAGGACGGUACCUGACUAAGAAGCCCCGGCUAACUACGUGCCAGCAGCCGCGGUAAUACGUAGGGGGCAAGCGUUAUCCGGAUUUACUGGGUGUAAAGGGGGCGCAGACGGCAGCGCAAGCCAGGAGUGAAAGCCCGGGGCCCAACCCCGGGACUGCUCUUGGAACUGCGCGGCUGGAGUGCCGGAGAGGUAGGCGGAAUUCCUAGUGUAGCGGUGAAAUGCGUAGAUAUUAGGAGGAACACCAGUGGCGAAGGCGGCCUACUGGACGGUGACUGACGCUGAGGCUCGAAAGCGUGGGGAGCAAACAGGAUUAGAUACCCUUGUAA